rnacentral:lncRNA from 1 species
ACAGGAUAAAAGAGCAGCCUGGGGCCCCAUGGGGAGGGGAGCACAGGGACCCUUUUCUUACUACUCACAACUCAGCUUCUGCUUGGAGCUUUGCUUAAGCCUUCUUCACAAGCUGUGUGAGAGGAACUGGACCUUGGGGAUCUAGGCAGAAACUAUUCUAAGGUUGAAUGAUGGAGGUAAGGGUCCUCGCACAGCCUCCACUGCCCAUAGCUGCAGGAGUGUCCAGAGAUCAGAGCUCUCAAUUAUAAGGAAAGACAUGGGCAAUAGCUGCUUGAGAGCACAGCAAAGUCAGGGCCCAGAAAGCCUGGGCGGUGGAAAAAGUUUAUUCCUCUGGAAGCCCUCAUUAUCACUUCCUUACUCCAUCCUGGUAAGUAGCCUCUGGGGCCUGUCUUAUGUGUCAUUUAUUCUCUGGAUUUAGUUACCAGUGAAUCCACAGGGAGGUGCCAGCCAGUUCUUAGGUGCAUUCCACAAGGGCAGAGAUUUUGGCCUGUUCUGUUCAAUGAUACCUACAAGUACCUAGACCUGAGAAUGGCAUAUAGAAGGUGCUUAGUGAAUAAUUAUUGAAUUUAAGUAUGAUUUAUUUAUUUAUGUAUUUUUCACCCCGGCUGGAGUGCAGUGGCAAACUCUCAGCUUAUUGCAACCUCUGCCUCACAGGCUUAAACCAUUCUCCCACUUCAGCCUCCCUAGUAGCUGGGACCACAGGCACACACCACUACGCCUGGCUAGUUUUUGUAUUUUUUGUAGAGAUGGGGUUUGCCAUGUUGCCCAGGCUGGUCUCAAACUCCCCGGUUCAAGUAAUUCACCCACCUCAGCCUCCCAAAGGGCUGGGAUUACAGGUGUGAGCCGCGCCCAACCAAAUUUAAGCCAAAUUUAAGAAUUUGAGAGACAGCCCCAAUUAGCUUAGCCAAGCCUCGUGCACUGUGGAGGGGGGGGCUGGCACAAGUGUGCCACCCUUGGGCCACACUACCACCAGGGUGUUCAAGGAAGAGGCCACCUCUUAUCCUCUGCAAGGAGACAGGUACACAAAGAUUCUGUGGGUCAUCUCUGUAAAGCUUUAAUUCAGAGGCCUCAGACAUGGACUGUCUGGGUUCAAGAGAUACCAAGGAGCUGGAAACACCAGUGGGGUUCUUUGGUGACUGGGGCCAAAGUGUCUGGUGCCAGGAAGCAGAAUAUACAAACUGGUAUGCUUUUGUGCAUAUAGCAACUAGCCUGAGGCCUCAUUGUACCAGCUUCAGAGAGAAAUAAAUCAUGUUUGUUUAACAAACGCAGUGAAAGAAUGCCCUGGCACAAUGCCUGACACCCAGUAAGCACUUAAUAAAUGUUUAUCGAAUGAAUGAAAGAGAUCUUA